rnacentral:tRNA from 1 species
UGGCUGAUUGGUAAAGCGCUUGGUUUCUGAAACGGGAGUCCCAGGUUCAAAUCCUGG